rnacentral:lncRNA from 1 species
AGCGUCUACCCUUAAAAUUAGCUAAGGUAACUUCUCUUGUAACAUCAUAGCACGAGUACCAUUCCCUAGCCUUGUACUUAAACAUCAGACACUAUUUAUUUAACUGUCUUGCCCAUUCGACUGUAUGUUCUUUGAGGACAAGAAGCUUUUUAUUUAUUCAAAUACCUGCACAGAGACUUCAUAGUAAAUUCAAUAAAUGUCAAACUGAAUGAAGUGGAAUUUAAGGGAGGCAGAUCUUUUUCUAUGAACCCCAAUUCAAAGAUUAAAGAAAUUGCUGCUCAAAGUAGAACCAAAUGCUUUGAAUUAACUAUCCUUUAAGUCAGAGAGUUUUAAAGAAAAGGUUUUUAGUCAAAGAGUUUCUUACAUUCUAAGAGAAUUUGGCUUAUCCAUGACCAAUACCUCUUAACUCCAAAAUGUAAUCCCCUGUAAAUCCUGUUCCGCUUGAAACACGGUGUGUUUCUGAGAACUACAAGAGAGAAUCCAACGUCUGACAUUUUCUUCUUUUCAGUCAAGACUUUUCUCUACUGUGAUCCUCCCUGGGUCUUUCUUCAAGUUUCUAAGAAGGUACUAGGAAACAGACUUCUCAUUAAGAAAAGAAUAACAUUCCCAGACCCUAUUUCCUUCAACGGCUUAACUACAGUUCCUUCUCUUCUUCAAGGCAAGAGGGUUCUUCUAAAACAGCUUUCACUGAACAGUGAACACUGUUGCUGUGUUGCAAAGAUGAAAGCAAAAUUUCAUGUGUGAAGCCCAAACUGAAAUCACAGAAGGCAGGAUUCACAGUGCUAAUUGUUGCUUAGCAAUAAAAUGUGCAAAACCUGCUAAUGGAACAGUGACACUAGGCACCGGAGGAAUUCGUAUCCACACUGGCAGUAAAUCAGGGAAUUAGACAGCCAACAGUAACAGCAAGAAAAGGAAUUCCAUCCCUUAGGAACCCUGAGAGGGUUUCUGCACUCAUCCCUGCUUACUGCUCAUUGAAAAGACUUUGUCUAUUAGAUACUGCUAUUAUGACGCCUGAACACUGAGAGGAAAUAGAUGCUCAGAGGUUCAGGUUAUCCUAAGAGUUCCUGAUGAAUUUGCACAUGACUAAAAAAAAAUAGUAUUGUUUCAUUUUCCCUGUAGAAAAGAUUUGCAGUAAAGGCAGACCUUCAAAUCCCAGCUUGUAUGUUUGCUAAGGGAGCAGAGUGGGACAAGAAGCUUCUGUCACUGCCACCUCAUCACAGGUGUUCUGUGGGUGGUAGUUAUGCCUCCAGCAUAAAGACCGCAUGUCAAGAACCAAAACAAACAAACAAAGACCUGGCAGUGUAGGAAUAAUCUAAUAGUGGGGCUUAACCUGAGAAAUAACUCCAGCCUUUUCUGGUUGGGCUCUGCUUUGGUUUUGUUCUACCUUUAUUUGCUCCUGAAAGGGUUUCCAAGAUAAAAUGUUCCAAGUUGUCUGACAAGGAAUCAGUGUUUACCUGUUAUCUGCAAUUUCUCUGAUUACAUUUAAAUCAACAGGAUGGUGGGCAGGCAGGGGAUGCUUAGGGAUUAAGUAAGUAGAAACGCACGUCAUAUGAAAUCAACUUUGAGGAAAAAAAUUAUAUCAAAAAAAGACAGCAAAUGCUUUCAGAGAGAGAUAAGGAUCCCCACAUACCUGCCCAAAUUUGGCAUUGUUAGUCUUUUAAUGCACUAUACUGGUGAAGUAUUGUGAUUUUAAUUUGCAUUUUUUAAUGACUAGGGAUACUGAAAAUCUUUUUUAAUGUUUAAGAUGCUUUUUACCAGGAGGUGACUGCUGAGCAACAGGUGCUGAGAAGUCAAGCCACAGUCUGCCUUUCCUUAGAAUCUCUCUCAAUAAACCCUUGUUGAUAAUACCUAUGUGUCCUACUCUUUGCUAACUGCGUUGGGCAAUACAAAUAUUUGUGUGUGAUCCCUUGCUUGGUAACAAUGUAGAAAAUAUAAUAUGCAUGAGCCAGUGGCAGACUUACAAGAGAUUAUAUAAAAGCUAUAAAGCACUUUAGGAAGCCAAGGCUGGAGGAUUGCUUGAGCUCAGGAGCUCAAGGCCAGCCUGGGCAACAUAGUGAGACCUUGACUCUACAAAAAUAAAUAAAUAAAAAUAAAAUAGCCAGGCAUCUUACUGCAUGUCUGUAGUCCAAACUACUCAGAAGGGUAAGGAGGGAGGAUCAGUUGAGCCCAGAACUUCGAGGAUGCAGUAAGCCAUGAUCACACCGCUGCACUCCUGCCUGGGGGACAAAGCAAGACCUUGUCUCAAAAAAAACAAGGCUAUCAGAAUCUGAAUAGUGAAACAGAUUCAUUUAUUUUGCAGUUAUCUAGCUUGCCUUUAAUGACAACCUAUUAUUCCCUAAAUUGGCGAAUGAAAAAAUCCGGAUGCUUAGC